GGUUGGUGUCGUUGAUGUUGUUGUUUCCUUGCUUUACCUUGUGGAAAACUUCCGGCAAAUGGUUAGUAGGAGCGGGACAGUGCAAACUAGAGAUGGGCGACCAGGCUGAGGCGAGAAGUUUCUCGAUGACUUAAAAAAGGAUAGUGAGCUCGCAAAAAUCACGUCAGGCCAGAAAACGACAAUAGAAAUGGAGACUUUUUCCUGGGUGGAACGACCCUCACUUGAGGCCCAUGUUUCCCUCACGCGCCUCCACCAAUGCCAUGGCUGCUGCCACGGAUGUUUCUCCGCUUGGUCACAUAACGCACAGCAGAUGAUGGACAGGAUUCUCGUGCUUUUCUUCUUGUAGGAAUCUCGCGCACUGGAACAACCCUAAACUUGGUCCACUUGCACCAAGUUUUUUUUUUUUCCCCCUUGGUUACACAGCACAGUUGAC
rnacentral:lncRNA from 1 species